rnacentral:rRNA from 1 species
AACGAACGCUGGCGGCAUGCCUAACACAUGCAAGUCGAACGAGACCUUCGGGUCUUGUGGCGCACGGGUGCGUAACGCGUGGGAACCUGCCCUUAGGUUCGGAAUAACUCCCCGAAAGGGGUGCUAAUACCGGAUAAUGUCUUCGGACCAAAGAUUUAUCGACUUUGGAUGGGCCCGCGUUGGAUUAGCUAGUUGGUAGGGUAAAAGCCUACCAAGGCGACGAUCCAUAGCUGGUCUGAGAGGAUGAUCAGCCACACUGGGAGUGAGACACGGCCCAGACUCCUACGGGAGGCAGCAGUGCGGAAUAUUGGACAAUGGGCGAAAGCCUGAUCCAGCAAUGCCGCGUGAGUGAUGAAGGCCUUAGGGUUGUAAAGCUCUUUUACCCGGGAUGAUAAUGACAGUACCGGGAGAAUAAGCUCCGGCUAACUACGUG